rfam:Anopheles epiroticus strain epiroticus2 unplaced genomic scaffold supercont1.1, whole genome shotgun sequence.
ACAAAGACAAACCACCAGCGAGGUAUAGAGUUCCUAUGUGCCUUCGCUACUCAUAGGAACUUCAUACCGUGCUCUUGGAUUGUUCUGAA